ACAUUACAUGCAAUAGUACCUAGAAUUACUACUGGAAAAAUAUAUAAAAGAUCGUUGGGCCACGCGGGUUCCCCGUAAUAAUUAUGUCCCAUCCCUUUAGCUAAUUUUGCUCUUAAUACAGGAUCGUUUAAGUCAGGUUUCUUUGUUAUUGGGAUAGGUGAAUUCUUUAAGAUCCAGCCCCCAAAGGAACCGGACAUGAGAAUUUUUCAUCAUCCGGCUCGAGCAAGAAUGAAAGAAAUAAAACCGUAGAAGAUCCAUAAUAGAAUAAGGUAUAUAAUGGCUCAAUGGCUCUAAGUAAGAAAAGCUUUAUCAGAUUCUAUUUUCCGAAGUUGCACCUACAACUAUUCAUUGAAAAGAAUCCUACUCUUAUGGGUAAAUGCUCAAUAUCCAAGUGGGCUUACAAAUUUGAUCAUGAUCAAUUGCUUUGUGGAUUGUCUCGCGUCUCUUGAUUAGUUGGUAUUUAUCCCCCCCAAUAUUGCAAGUUUCUUACGUCCAAACAAAGUAUUUACUUGUUACUAAUAAAAAAUCAAAAAGUUUAGCCUACGUUCUUCCUUAGAUCCCUUCUUUUACUCCGAUAGUAUUGCAGAUCGCAAUCGAUGCAAAGAAAAUGAAUGCAUUUCCAUACUAUAAUAAAAAGUAAGUGUAAUAAAUAGAGAAUUGGAUCAUGUCACAUGACUUAUUCCAUUUCUACUCUAUGGGAUCUUACGGAGCCUCUUCAUGGAUGACAUGGUUGAGGUAUGAUCAUAGAAAAUAUUCUCCUCAAGUGAACCAGCCUAUCCUUACUAGACAGGGGACUUACGUGUUGAUUGGAUAUGGAGACACCUUUGGUCGUGAAUUCUAAUGUGGCAGAUCCAACUCUCUAUCUGCAUGGCCAAAUCAAUAAUUCAAGUCGCACACUCCCAUAAUCCGCCUUCUUUUCUUUCGUAAAAUUAACUUCAACUAUUUGUAUUAUUUGUAUCACAAUAGUUCGGAGUUGAAGAGAAGUAUCUAAAUGACAUGUCUUAUUUUAGAAUAACCCAUGUUUGUAGCAAUGAAAUACCACAACCUACCCGAUAUGAUAUAUGAGAAUUAGAACUCUCUAUGAGAUGCCUUCCUUAU
rnacentral:lncRNA from 1 species